CUCAGAAUGGCUUUAGGCGUUUGAGGAGAGCGAGGUGACUGAGGACGACCUAACGAGGACAACGAAGGAACAAAUGUAUUAUCAACAGAUACUACGUGUUGCGCAUGUCUUCGACAGCAUAUCAGCUGAUCAGCAAAGGGAGUAGAUGCCCCGGUCUAAUCUGAGAAGCAGAGAAGAUGCGAUCAGCUGUUUACAGCCUCUUGCGCUUGGCUCACGACAAGAGCGCGAAGGCUAAGGGAAGACAUUAGGAAA